UCGGCUUAGAGUUUGAUCAUGGCUCAGGACGAACGCUGGCGGCGUGCCUAAUACAUGCAAGUCGAACGAAUUGGUGCUUGCAUCAUUGAGUGGCGAACUGGUGAGUAACACGCGGGAAACCUGCCCAGAAGCGGGGGAUAACACCUGGAAACAGAUGCUAAUACCGCAUAACAACUUGACCGCAUGGUCCGAGUUGAAAGAUGUUCGUAUCACUUUUGGAUGGUCCCGCGGCGUAUUAGCUAGAUGGUGAGGUAACGGCUCACCAUGGCAAUGAUACGUAGCCGACCUGAGAGGGUAAUCGGCCACAUUGGGACUGAGACACGGCCCAAACUCCUACGGGAGGCAGCAGUAGGGAAUCUUCCACAAUGGACGAAAGUCUGAUGGAGCAACGCCGCGUGAGUGAAGAAGGGUUUCGGCUCGUAAAACUCUGUUGUUAAAGAAGAACAUAUCUGAGGUAAUUCAGGUAUUGACGGUAUUUAACCAGAAAGCCACGGCUAACUACGUGCCAGCAGCCGCGGUAAUACGUAUGUGGCAAGCGUUGUCCGGAUUUAUUGGGCGUAAAGCGAGCGCAGCGGUUUUUUAAGUCUGAUGUGAAAGCCUUCGGCUCAACCGAAGAAGUGCAUCGGAAACUGGGAAACUUGAGUGCAGAAGAGA
rnacentral:rRNA from 1 species